GGCGGGAUAGCUCAGUAGGGAGAGCAACGGACUGAAAAUCCGUGUGUCCCCAGUUCAAUUCUGGGUCCCGCCACCA
rnacentral:tRNA from 1 species